rnacentral:ncRNA from 1 species
CUUAUGAGUAGAAGCGUUCAGCCGGUUACCUGUCUUUACCGGUGGGUCAUUGCUCAAUGU